rnacentral:rRNA from 1 species
UACGUAGGGGGCGAGCGUUGUCCGGAAUUAUUGGGCGUAAAGAGCUCGUAGGCGGUUCGGCAAGUCGGAAGUGAAAGCUCCAGGCUCAACCUGGAGAGGCCUUUCGAUACUGCCGUGACUAGAAUCCGGUAGAGGAGUGUGGAAUUCCCGGUGUAGCGGUGAAAUGCGCAGAGAUCGGGAGGAACACCAGUAGCGAAGGCGGCACUCUGGGCCGGUAUUGACGCUGAGGAGCGAAAGCGUGGGGAGCAAACAGGAUUAGAUACCCUGGUAGUCCACGCCGUAAACGUUGGGCACUAGGUGUGGGACUCUAUCGACGGGUUCCGUGCCGCAGCUAACGCAUUAAGUGCCCCGCCUGGGGAGUACGGCCGCAAGGCUAAA